CUCAGAGGCUCCUCCCCAAACAUUCAUUAAUGGUGGUCCAGACGAAGUUACAAAGAAAAGGAGGGAUUACACGGAUGUUGCCCAAACAAUGGAUGAAAUGCCUGGUGCUCAAGAAAGCAAGAGACACAACGUGUUUACUAGUAUGAGGAGGAUCUCUAGUUCCUGUGCUCCCAGUUGUGUAGGCUACACUCCGUCAUGACUGUAUGGUUUGUGGCAGUUCGGAGUGGAUCCAUACAACUUGCUGUCUUCCGACAGAAUCGUCAGUAAACGUUAGUUUUCACUCUCCAGCGGACAAAGAUUCUCUCUGCCCAGAGCUGCUUCCUGUCUCUUUGAUUUUUUUGGAUGAAGGUUAAGCUGCUUCUACAGAAAAGGACAUGAUUCAGACCUCAGCGGAGGCAUUGUUAUGUUUUAUUCACUGCAGAAGAUGUGGUUAGCUGUAACCUGAGUAGCCCUGAGUCUACACAAGAAUGUAUCAGAGGAGGAGCUGCUCUGGAGAUAAGAAAUAAUCUCUGCAUUAAUCUCACUCUGUAAAUUUUAAUUAAGGCCAAGAGCACUACUUAUUAUAGCGAGUUAGUUUACUUGGGACAUUUGGAUGAUAAAGUUGGAAUGGGUUAAAUAUAUAGAUUAAUGUACAGUAAUUUUACAUUUGACAGGUGGAACAGUGUCUUCAAAAUCGCAUCACUAUCAAAGAGAUAAUGCAGCAAUACAUUAAAUAACAGAUCAGCUAACGGGCAACGAUUGAACCUGCGGUUAGUAUCAAAAUUGAUUGACUGGUUUUAUAUACACAAACUCUAUCUUAUUCAAUCACUAUCAGCAGUCUUUCUAAAGCUUGGAAUAAAACCGGAUGGAAUUUUUGAAUUACAAUAAGGUCAGCUGACAAACACACAGAAUGCUGAUUUCCCAUCUAAGUGUAAAUGCAGCCAUGGCCGCGGUUGGACUGUACUUAUGCACAGCGGUGCUUUGAGCUAAACGAUAAUGGCUGUGUUUCAGUAGUGGUUCAACAUGCCCUCGUUGACUUCCCCUAAGCACCUGCCCUCGGGGGAAUCCCCACCGCCGUCUUAUGUGUUGUUCCAACUGUCUGAAAAACUGAAGUGAACUUGUUGAGAUCGACCCUCGGAGGGCUGAAGGAGCGAGUGAACAAUGAUGGUCCCUCCAGAGGUGGAUAUCGCCCACAAUGCAUUGCAGUUAUGCAUUUGGUGCAAGAAAACACAUCCAUGGUUAGGUGGCAGUAAUGUACAACUUCUACAACUCCUGUUGCUGACCACCGAAGAAGGACAAGAUGAAUAAAUACAUUUCAACUUUUUA